rnacentral:rRNA from 1 species
AUUGAACGCUGGCGGCAUGCUUUACACAUGCAAGUCGAACGGCAGCGCGGGCUUCGGCCUGGCGGCGAGUGGCGAACGGGUGAGUAAUGCAUCGGAACGUGCCCAGUAGUGGGGGAUAGCCCGGCGAAAGCCGGAUUAAUACCGCAUACGACCUGAGGGUGAAAGCGGGGGACCGAAAGGCCUCGCGCUAUUGGAGCGGCCGAUGUCGGAUUAGCUAGUUGGUGGGGUAAAGGCUUACCAAGGCGACGAUCCGUAGCUGGUCUGAGAGGACGACCAGCCAACUGGGGAAUGAGACCGGGCCCAAACCCCCAGGGGGGGCAGAGGGGGGGAAUUUUGGAAAAGGGGGGAACCCCUGACCCGGCCAUGCCGGGGGGGGGAAGAAGGCCUUCGGGUUGUAAACCGUUUUUUUUGGGGAAAAAACCCUCGGGGCUAAAACCCCGGGGGGAUGGCGGGACCGGAAAAAAAAGCCCCGGCAAACUACUG